GAUCUAGAGUUGGAAGGGACCUGAGAAUCGAUUUCAUUCAAUCCUCUGAUUUUACAGCUCAGCAAUAUUAAGUAAUUUAUUUAUUCAAGGAUUUUUGUUCAGUCGUUUCAGUUGUGUCUGACUUUACAAGACCUCAUUUGGAGCUUUCUUGGCAGAGAUACUGGAGUGGUUUGUCAUUUCCAUCUCCAGCUCAUUUUACAGAUGAGGAAACUCAAGUAAAGGGGGUUAAGUGACUUAUCUAAGGUCACAUUGUUAGGAAGUUUCUGAGGCCAGCUUUUAACUUAAGACAAAUCUUCCUGCCUUCAGGUCUGGCACUCUAUUGUCUUUGUCACCUAGCUGCCCUGUACCAGUUUUCAUGGGUAUUAAGUGUCAGGGCAUUAACUCCAGAGUUAAUACUCUUCCCCUGUAUUAUGCUGCUGUCUAUUCAGCCCUUAAGCAGCUCCAUCUUCCAGCCACAGCUUUCUUUGUUUGUUCCCCGAAUAGCUUUCACUGUUUGAUACAGUUGGCACUGCCUGGAGUGGCCUAGAUGGUAACAAACUUUCUCUGCUACUGAAGCUACCUAGGCAGCUAAGUAACCACUCUUCACAGUCUUGGAGAAAACUUCUGUUUUUCAAGGAUGAUGGAAAAGGCUCAUCUCAUCCCAAUUUAGCUGUCAGAGCAAGUGCUGUGGUCCUGAGGAAGUUGUGGCGCUGUCCUCCACACAGAUCCAAUGUUGAUGGAGUUGGGAGAAUUAGCCACUUCAGACAAUUUUGAAGCACAUACCCAUAGAGGGUAUACUUUAAGGAAUGGAGGCUGGACCCGAGACCCUGUUCCUGGUGAGGCUGUUCUAAAAUCUCUUCCUUUGAACUGACACGUGGUAAUCUGAGAAAAAGGACUAAUAAGAUAAAAUGCAACCAACUGGGAGGAGAGAGAGAAUACCAAGGACAAAUAUGAACAAACAUUUGGAUACAGGAAUAUACCCACCAGAAGAAAGACACAAUUUUAGGGAUUGUGACCUCCAUGGUAGAGAGAAUGAUAAAUAUGGAAUCUAGAAAGGCGCCAAUCCUCUGACACCAGAAGAGCUACACCUAAGAAAAACUUAAUCUGAAUUCCACAAAGGGAGAAAACAACUCUCAUUGCUUUAGAAGGCAUCUUACUGACAUGUAUGUUUCCUACAUAUGUACUUUGCUAUCUAUCUUUAUACCUUGUUUUUGAACCCACUUUCCCCAAGAACUUUGUGCAUGCAGAAGAAGAGUAUACCGUAGCUUGAAGCAGAAGGUUUUCACCAGUUGUUUUUACUAUAUUGACUUAGUAAAUGUCUUUUGCCAAGUGUUAAUUGAUGACAUUGACUAAUUAUCUAUAGGGAUCUCACUGCUGAGGGCUCAUGAGAAACUUACUUUCUCAGCCUUAGAAAACUGAAAGUCAUCUCAGCCACUCUUUUAGGGUGAGUCUUGGUCUACUGAUUUGAAUGGAAGUGGUGAAGUGGAUCCAGAGAAUUGCUAUUCUUUUUGUCAAAUGUUAUGAAAGCACAUGUUCUCCCACAUACAGUCUUUAAAUUGAUGAUGACUAUAGCAAAUGUCAGCUUUUCUGAAUCAAUCUGGUUUGGCAUUAUUGAUCUGCUACUUGGUUUUAUGCUAAAUACUAAAAAAGCUUUUCAAAAUUCUGAGUAUUCUCAUUUCAUUUUCACUAUAAUUUGAGAUGUUGAUAUUAUUUGUUGUUGCCUGUUUCCUUACUAGAUAAAAUUUCUGGGAAUAAUAUUAAAUAAAUAUUUUUAGUAAACUGAGA